AACGAACGCUGGCGGCAUGCCUAAUACAUGCAAGUCGAACGAUCACUUCGGUGGUAGUGGCGCACGGGUGCGUAACGCGUGGGAAUCUGCCCUUGGGUUCGGAAUAACGUCGGGAAACUGACGCUAAUACCGGAUGAUGACGUAAGUCCAAAGAUUUAUCGCCCAGGGAUGAGCCCGCGUAGGAUUAGCUAGUUGGUGGGGUAAAGGCCUACCGAGGCGACGAUCCUUAGCUGGUCUGAGAGGAUGAUCAGCCACACUGGGACUGAGACACGGCCCAGACUCCUACGGGAGGCAGCAGUAGGGAAUAUUGGACAAUGGGGGCAACCCUGAUCCAGCAAUGCCGAGUGAGUGAUGAAGGCCUUAGGGUUGUAAAGCUCUUUUACCCGGGAUGAUAAUGACAGUACCGGGAGAAUAAGCCCCGGCUAACUCCGUGCCAGCAGCCGCGGUAA
rnacentral:rRNA from 1 species